rnacentral:rRNA from 1 species
UACGGAGGGUGCAAGCGUUAUCCGGAUUCACUGGGUUUAAAGGGUGCGUAGGUGGGUCUGUAAGUCAGUGGUGAAAUCUCCGAGCUUAACUCGGAAACUGCCAUUGAUACUAUAGAUCUUGAAUUAUCUGGAGGUUAGCGGAAUAUGUCAUGUAGCGGUGAAAUGCUUAGAUAUGACAUAGAACACCGAUUGCGAAGGCAGCUGACUACAGGUGAUAUUGACACUGAGGCACGAAAGC